UCCUAGAGCAGUAAAUAUUUGAUAUUGGCAACCUAACAGUGUAUCAUUGUUUUUCUGGACAGAGCAGAUAUGCAAAUAUAAUCCCAAGCACGUUCAUUAGUUGAAAUAUUAACUAGCAGAGAUGCUAUUUGUUUUGCUGCAAUUUCAGGACAAAAGGAGUAACCCCUCAUUGUACUAUUGAGUAACAAAAGGAAAGAGAUACCUAAUACAAAAGUACUAUCUACAUAGGAGCAUGGUAACAAAAUUUUACAAGUAAAGUAGACCGACCCUAAAACCAAAAACUUCAUUCUAUCAUGAUCAGGUCUAUGCAUGAUAAUGUAGGACAAUCUGCAAAGGCACAAGUGCAGAAAGACGAUGCAUU
rnacentral:lncRNA from 1 species